AUCGUGAGGUGUAGGCGAGAAGAAGGGAUAGCGAAAUCGUAGCCCUACGAACAGGAACUUAAUACUAAGGCAUAUUUGGCGGAUGAGUUGGCACAAAGCAACAAAGUCCAAAAGGGAACCGUAACCUAAAUAUGUAAAUUAAGAGGGUAGACGAGGAA
rnacentral:ncRNA from 1 species